rnacentral:rRNA from 1 species
GUCAAUUUGCUCAAUGAAUUUUUUUUUAAUAGCUGCAGUAUACUUGACUGUACAAAGGUAGCAUAAUAAAUUGUCUUUUAAUUGAAGAAUAGAAUGAAAGAAUUAAUGAAAUAUAUUCUGUCUCUAAUAUANUAAAUAAAUUUAAAUUUUUAGUUAAAAUGCUAAAAUUAAAUUAUGGGACGAUAAGACCCUCUAGAAUUUUCUAUUAUUGUUAAAUUUUAAAAUUUAAUGAUUUUUUAAUUUAUUAAUAAUCUUUAAUUGGGAGGAUUAAUAAAUUUAAUUAACUUUAUUAAAAUUAUAACUUUGAUUUAAGAAAAUUAAAAUUGAUAUAAAUUUAUAUUAAUAAAUAAAAUAAAUUACCUUAGGGAUAACAGCGUAAUAUCUUUUAUUAGAACUUAUUAAUAAAGAUGUUUGCGACCUCGAUGUUGAAUUAAGAUAAAUUUUAAAUGAAGAAAUUUAAUUAUUAAGUCUGUUCGACUUUUAAAAUCAUACAUGAUUUGAGUUC